rnacentral:rRNA from 1 species
UACGUAGGGCGCAAGCGUUGUCCGGAAUUAUUGGGCGUAAAGAGCUCGUAGGCGGUCUGUUACGUCCGCUGUGAAAACCCAGGGCUUAACCCUGGGCUUGCAGUGGAUACGGGUAGACUAGAGGCAGGUAGGGGAGAAUGGAAUUCCCGGUGUAGCGGUGAAAUGCGCAGAUAUCGGGAGGAACGCCGGUGGCGAAGGCGGUUCUCUGGGCCUUACCUGACGCUGAGGAGCGAAAGCGUGGGGAGCGAACAGG